UACAGAGGUGUCAAGCGUUAUCCGGAUUUAUUGGGCGUAAAGGAUGAGUAGGUGGUUCUGAAAGUCUGUAAUGAAAUGCUGUUGCUUAACGACAGUCUGUUACAGAAACUACAGAGCUAGAGACAAGGAGAGGUAAGCGGAAUUCCAUGUGUAGCGGUAAAAUGCGUAGAUAUAUGGAGGAACACCAGUGGCGAAGGCGGCUUACUGGCCUUGAUCUGACACUGAAUCAUGAAAGCGUGGGGAGCAAAUAGG
rnacentral:rRNA from 1 species